rnacentral:lncRNA from 1 species
GACAAACCGCCUAAAUACUUUUGCUAGUCAAGUUGGACUUAAAAUCAGCCAAACCAAAACUGAAGUCAUGACGCUAAACAUCAAUAACCCAACUCCUAUCCUAGUAGAUGGAAAAGAUCUCCCCAUCACAGAAACAUUUACAUACCUAGGAAGUACAAUAAGAAACGAUGGAGGUGCAGGAAAUGACAUAAUGAACAGAUUGAACAAAGCCAGGAAUAUAUUUAGAUCACUUAACAAUGUAUGGAAAUCAUCACAGUAUAGUAAGAAGACCAAACUAAAACUGUACCAGAGUUGUGUACUAUCUACUCUGUUAUACGGAUCAGAAUGCUGGAGGAUGACAGAAGUCGAUCUUAACAAACUGUCAGUUUUCCAUACCAAAAGCUUAAGGGGAAUCCUGUGCAUUUUCUGGCCAAACAAAAUAUCUAAUGAAGAUCUUCUAAACUAGUGUCAGCAAGAUAGCAUGGGUACAAUAUUAGUGAGAAGGCGUUGGAAAUGGAUUGGGCAUGUGAUUAGAAGAGAUAGUAAUUCCAUCACUAGAACAGCAUAACAUUGGACUCCAGAAGGAAGGCGUAAGCGAGGAAGACCAAAAAACACAUGGAGACGUACUGUAGAAGGAGAACUGAAGACCAUGAACAAAACAUGGGGAACAGUAGAAAAGAUGGCCAAAGACAGACAGAAAUGGAGAAUCUUUGUUGCUGCCCUACAUGCCGAUGGCAUACCGUGCAGUAAGUAAGUAAGUAAGUAAGUAAACAACAAAUUAAUGUAAUUAAAAUAUUUGAAAACCUUAAAGAUUACUCACAUUACGCACAGGUAAAUUUGCUCGUUCUGCUAGCUCUCCAUUAUAAAUGAAAAUUAAAGUCCAUCAUAAGGGAGACAACUGAAAGAGGGAUCUCUAUUUACAGGGUCUAUAAUGGGAAUU